rnacentral:rRNA from 1 species
UACGUAGGUGGCAAGCGUUGUCCGGAUUUACUGGGCGUAAAGAGCGCGCAGGCGGUCGUUCAAGUCGCGUGUGAAAGCCCCCGGCUCAACUGGGGAGGGUCACGCGAUACUGAUCGACUCGAAGGCAGGAGAGGGAAGUGGAAUCCCCGGUGUAGUGGUGAAAUGCGUAGAUAUCGGGAGGAACACCAGUGGCGAAGGCGACUUCCUGGCCUGUUCUUGACGCUGAGGCGCGAAAGCUAGGGGAGCAAACGGG